rnacentral:rRNA from 1 species
GACAGAGGGUGCAAACGUUGUUCGGAAUUACUGGGCGUAAAGCGCGUGUAGGCGGCCCGACAAGUCGGAUGUGAAAGCCCCGGGCUCAACCCGGGAAGUGCAUUCGAUACUGUCAGGCUGGAGUCCCGGAGAGGAUGGUGGAACUCUCGGUGUAGAGGUGAAAUUCGUAGAUAUCGAGAAGAACACCGGCGGCGAAGGCGGCCAUCUGGACGGUGACUGACGCUGAGACGCGAAAGCGUGGGGAGCAAACAGG